rnacentral:rRNA from 1 species
AUUGAACGCUGGCGGCAGGCCUAACACAUGCAAGUCGAACGAGUGGCGGACGGGUGAGUAAUGGCUGGGAAACUGCCUGAUGGAGGGGGAUAACUACUGGAAACGGUAGCUAAUACCGCAUACCAUCAGAUGUGCCCAGAUGGGAUUGGCUAGUAGGUGGGGUAAUGGCUCACCUAGGCGACGAUCCCUAGCUGGUCUUAGAGGAGGAAAAGGCACACUGUAACGGAGAAACGGGCCAGAGUACUACGGGAGGCAGCAGUGGGGAAUAGUGCACAAUGGGCGCAAGCCUGAGGAAGCCAUGCCGCGGGUGUGAAGAAGGCCUUCGGGUUGUAAAGCACUUUCAGCGAGGAGGCGUUACUCGCAGAAGAAGCACCGGCUAACUCCGUGCCAGCAGCCGCGGUAAUAC